CCUACGGGAGGCAGCAGUGGGGAAUUUUGGACAAUGGGGGCAACCCUGAUCCAGCAAUGCCGCGUGAGUGAAGAAGGCCUUCGGGUUGUAAAGCUCUUUUGUCCGGAAAGAAAUCCUAUUCGCUAAUACCGAGUGGGGAUGACGGUACCGGAAGAAUAAGCACCGGCUAACUACGUGCCAGCAGCCGCGGUAAUACGUAGGGUGCGAGCGUUAAUCGGAAUUACUGGGCGUAAAGCGUGCGCAGGCGGUUGUGCAAGACAGAUGUGAAAUCCCCGGGCUUAACCUGGGAAUUGCAUUUGUGACUGCACGGCUAGAGUGUGUCAGAGGGGGGUAGAAUUCCACGUGUAGCAGUGAAAUGCGUAGAGAUGUGGAGGAAUACCGAUGGCGAAGGCAGCCCCCUGGGAUAACACUGACGCUCAUGCACGAAAGCGUGGGGAGCA
rnacentral:rRNA from 1 species